CCCCCAGCUGCUCCUUCCUGCCAGGGGUUGGGGGGAGCCCUGUGACAGCGCUGCAUUUAUAGCAAGCCCCUUCAGUUCCCCCCCUCGGGAAGUUUGGGGCACUGCGGUGAGUGCUGCAGUGCCCGCAGCCCAUGUGCUGAAACCGCUGCUCAGCCCAGUGCCUUUCUGGUAACCGGGUUCAGGUUCACCCCGAAAGGUGCAUCCCCAACAGCAGGUGGAGGUGAAACGGGCUCCAAAACUCCCCCUGGAAGGGCUGGGUUGGGGGGGGGGAGAGCAACCUGUGUGCUGUCAGUGCGAUAAUGCGAGAGCCCUUACGCUGACGGUUCAUGUGGCACGAACCCAGGGUGAAAAAUGGAGAAUGAUUUGGUAUCAUCGCUGGCGACUGCUAGAGGGAGCGCUGAUGUUUCCCUAUCAAUGCCUCCGAGAGAGCCACUUGCGUGUUUGCCAGGGCCUGGGCUGCAGCGAGCCCGCAGAGCUGCAUCCUGAGCAUCCUCAGCAAGGCAGCGGUGCGGGCAGGCUCCGUCCCCGCCGCAGUGAAUCCGUGCUGCUCUGCAAACCUGCACGGCUGCACCAUCCCCGCUUCUGAAAGCCACAGGCAGCAGCACUGAGUGGCUUUGCCUGAGCCAUGUGCGCCUCCGAAAGUUCAUAAAGGGGUUUAGGAACUGGGUGGGUUUAGGAACGGGGUGGGCCCUGUAGAAUGUCAGUGGGUGCGGGAAGCAGAGCCGGUGAGGAAGGGCUCCUACCGAGGGAAAAGCCAGAGAACACCACAGUCCUUAAGGAAAGGGAGGGAAACAGUCCUGCCCGUGUUGUAAACCCUUCAGUUUUUGCCUAGGCUCAGGCUUUUGGCUGAACCCACUGAGAAUUUGGGGCAGUUCCUUGAAGCUGAAGGAUGCCCUUCUGCACCACUGCAGGUAAUGCAGAGACCUUAGCCAAAAUGCAGUAAAAAACAUAGAAAAGGGUUCCUCAGUGAGCUGCAAAGAGAGUAACACUGGGAGAGGCUUGAGAUGGGAUAAAGCAGCAGCAUGUCACUGUCCUACAGGGACAGUCCCCAUGGAGUGCUGGGAUGUGGCUCUGCAGAAACAGAGGGGUUUGGCUUGAGUGUCCCCAGGCAGCUUUUAGGAACAGAUAUCAGGUAAAUCUAUCAUGUCAGCUGAAAAACCACACUCACAUCAUCCCGGGUCCCCCGAAACCCCGGACCUGAUCUGGAUCAUGCUUACAGCCAGCUCUCCAAGAGUGAAAAGGACCAAGUCCUUGUCAAGCAGCAUCUAGACCUUGUAAUCUGUAACAGGAUUUUGCAAACCGAAGAUAAUCCAGUAUUUAGAUACAUGGAUUUGAUUUCUCCAAGCUUCCACCUGGAAGGAGUGUAGAGCAUCAGCAUCCUGAGGUAUCAGCUGCCAGAACUCAAGUUUUUCUCAGGCAGCAAGUCCAUGUCCCUGCAGGAUGGGAGUCUCUGCCCAUGCAGAUGAGGCACAGCGAGGUCAGGAGUAUUUCCUAAGGACACACAGGAAACCCAAGUCAAUAAAUCUCAAAUCUCCAUUCA